rnacentral:lncRNA from 1 species
GAGAACAAAAAAAAGUGUGAGGAUGACUGAUAAACUAGUUCAUAUCUUAUGACUGAUGGUUAAUGGUGGAUAAUUAAUAACUUAUAAUUUAUGCCUGAUGAUUGAUGAUUGAUGAUAGCUGAUAAGCUAAUUGAAAUUUUUGGUAAAAUUAACAAUUCAACUAACUUAUAAAUGUAAAAUGAUAUAAAAAAGAAUUUAAUACAUAUUUAUUUUAUGUUAGAGUAAAA